AAAAGAAUUGCCCAGUGGGGUAUGAAGGACACAAGAGUUCCUAUUCCCUGCUGAGAUUCCAGGAACUCAGGAGGUCAUUGUGUCCUGAAAUGUCCUAAAUGGCCACAAUCCCUGCUGGGUUCCCUCUGGUUUUCUCUUGAGUUGGAUUCCAUUCCCUCCCACUCUUCCUCUCCUGAGGGAGUCACAAGGAAUGGGCCAGCUGGAUGUAUGGAGGGAUUCAGCUUCAUUCAUGAUUCAGAGAUAGAGGGGUGGGGGCUUAGGUGGAUAUCAUUCCAUCCACACCUAUUAGACAGCCCAGAGGAGGGAAGGAAUGUGCCUGUCUGCUGUGUAGCAGAGUGUGUUGUGCACAGUGGAGCUGGGGCUAGCUUUGGGAGAAGUGUCCCAAGCAGCAGGAAUGUGAACAGAGGUCACGGUUGAGAGCUGGAAAGGUAGCUUCCCAAAGUCAUCAAGGAUGCAGGCUUCUGUAUUGCUGUUUCACCAUCCUGAGUUUUGGCUUUCACCCUCCUGGAUACUUCAUGGUCUCUAGUGAGUGCUGAAACUAUGGACCCUGGACCCACUCUGAAGGGAGCAGAAGGAGCUGGUCUGCCCCCCUUUAACAAGUCUUCUCAUCAGUCUCAUUCAGCAUUUCUGAUUCCAUCCCAACCACCACAUGGGAGACACAUGGCCACACCUAGCUGCAAGAGAAGCCAGGAAAUAUAGCUUAUCUGUUACACAUAUUGUCCAGGUUUUUGUCCCUGAGGAAGAAGGGGAGGAUGGAUUUUGGAUGGCAGUUAGCAUCCUCUACCACCCAGUUGGAAGGCUCUUGUAAUAAUCCCAGGGAGAGGUAAUGUUGGCUUUUACCAGUUGGUAGUGGAACAGAUGGUGCAGGUGGUCAGAAUCUAUAAUAUUUUGAAGGUAAAUCUGACAGCAUUUGCUGAAAAAUUGUGUGUGUGUGAGAGAGAGACAGAGAGAGAGAGAGAGGAAUUUCUGCUAUGGAAUAAAUGUUUGUGCCCCCCUAAAAUUCAUAUUUUGAAGUUCUAAUCCCCAAUGUGAUGGUAUUUGGAGGUGGGGCCUUUGGGAACUGAUUAGGUCAUGAGAGUGGAGCCCCCAUGCAUGGGAUUAGUGCCCAUUAUGAGAAGAGACCUCAAAGAGAUGACUGUUUCUCUGCCAUGUGAAGAUACAACAAAAAAGGAGGCUGUUGUCUGCAAACCAGGAAGCAGUCCCUCACCAGACACUGAAUCUGCUGGCACUUUGAUCUUGGAUUUUCCUGCUUCUACAAUGGCGAGAAAUAAACGUUUGUUGUUUAAGCCACUCAGUCUACCGUAAUUUGUUAUAUCAGCCCAAGCUGAUAAGCUUUGACUAAGAUCAAAGGGAGGAUGAUGCCAGGUUUUUGGCCCGAGCAGCUACAAGAAUGGGGUUGCUAUGGACUGAACUGAGAAAGGCUCUUGAAGGAGCCCCGUUGGUGAGGGAGUGUUGUCUUGGCUGUGUGAAGUUUGAGAGGCUUAAUAGACAUCUUGGUGGAGCUUUAAAGCAGGCAGUUUGAUACAUAAGGCUAAAGUUCUGGGGGUGUUUCUGGGCUGGAUGAUGUUUACAGCCAAAAGAUUGCAUGGGACUACCUUGGGCAUGGUACAG
rnacentral:lncRNA from 1 species